rnacentral:SRP_RNA from 1 species
GCCAGGUGUGGUGGCGGGCACCUGUAAUCCCAGCUACUUGGGAGGCUGAGACAGGAGAAUUGCUUGAACCUGGGAGGCGGAGGUUGCAGUGAGCUGAGAUGGCACCACUGCACUCCAGCCUGGGCGACAGAGUAAGACCCUGUCUCAA